rnacentral:lncRNA from 1 species
UAAACAUUCACUUGUAAUAUGAUUCAUUUUUGAUCAUAUACACUGCAUUCAUCUUGCACAUUUUCAAAUUCCUUACAUUUCAUUUCAUCAUUUCUUUCUUACAUCACAUUUACCUCAAAAUACACAUUACAUUCUUUCCUUUACAUUAUUUCUCAUCAAGUACAAAGAUGAACAUAGGGUUCUUUACUACAAAAUGAAACCCAACUUUGGUGGCCUCUGACUAAGGCGCGAUACCUUUACCUCGGUCGCUCGCCGGCUCGCUCGGUCCCGGCUCUGUAGAAAUAGUGGGUUGAGUGUCACGCCCCGGGACCAAUACCAAUUUGGGCCGGCCCGAGCACGUCAAACAGACGCCGAACGGGCAGAGUUUUCUCUAUCCGCCGAAGGCUCAUCACAUGUACAGAUUCAAACAAGAAAUGCACUAGCGGAAACAUACACAAACGGCUUACACGAUGGUAAGCAAUAGCCAUUAGUGAAAGAAAGGAAGACUAAACAUUUAUAAGUACUAUGAUUCAUUUUUGAUCAUAUACAUUGCAUUCAUUUACAUUCAUGAUUCUUUGUACUUCAUUACACAUUGCAUCAUUUCUUUCGUACAUCACAUUUACCUCAAAAUAAGCUUUACAUUCCUUUCUCAACAUCACUAGUCAUCAAAUACAAAA